UGACCUUGAUCCCCCAACAAAGGGGAGAUUGGGCAAGGGCUAUGAAGCCAUCCGUUUGGUCCCGUUCUUGGAUUUAACUUCCAGAUGCUGGGAUGGAGCAGGAGAGAGGCAGGAAAACACACA